ensembl:lncRNA
AAUAACUUGGCCUUAAGUACUGCCUUGUCCAGCGUAUCCUCCAAUCACCAACCGCUGUCCCUAACUAGGCACAGGUGCAUCGAAUUCCCUGAUUUUCCUUCUUACGGCGCUACCGGAAGUUCCGGUGUUCUGUUUUUCCGGUCCGGGCGGAAACACUUCCGGGCGGAACCAAACUUCCCGAAUUUUGGUUCCGCCCCUAAAGAUCGUCACCUUGUGACAUAAGCAAAUUAUUAUAAUUUUUUUUUUUAACUGAAAGUUGAAAUUUAUUAUAGACUGGGGCAAGUUAUCCCCAUUGUCACAGAAGGGCAGUGUAUAUUUAUAAUUUUAAGGAAAAAUUUUAGAACUUUUUUUUUCUUUUUCUUUAGUUGUUGCCAAACUAUAAAUUAUAGAUCUAUAAAUUGACUACAUAAAACCCCUUCCAAAUAUUCACUUGAGUAAACAUGGUGUAUAUUUCAUGCGUGCAUUCCAUACAUUUUAGUUUGUUUCAGAACUUUUUCUCUUGCUUUUGAAAAGCGACUUCUUGAUCAGCAUGCUCUAAUAGUUUAAUUGAAUGAAUGUGGGACACAGAGGACUUUGCAACAUUCUAUAAAUAUGAGCAGAAUUCUUUUAUCGGUAGCACUUCUUUGGUUAUAUGCUGCUCUGAUGGUUUUUAAGUGCAUUCAUGCAGUGACAUCCAUAAAAAUAAAUGUCCAGUGGUGGUUGAAAUGAUGACAUACUAUUCUUGUCCAAGUGCAAAGUGAUGGUGACUGCCAGCAGUUCUUUCUCUUCCUUCAGAUCAUGCUAGAAUAAAUAGAUGCAACAUAAUGGCCAGCAGCACCAUCAGGCACUGUAGUGCACUGUAAUUUUAUGCCCAAAGUGGGUUGAUGGUUACAUGUUUCAGUGAGACAAUGAGAUGAAACUGAUUAUAGUAGAACUGCCUUCCAUAUGAAAGGUUAGCUUUCCUUCAGUCUGUCAUUCUCAGCACCACUCAUGUUGUCGGUGAAAUGUUGUAGCACUUUUAUUUAGAGUGUUACAGGGCUUGUUUACUGACCAAAUGGAAACAGUAUCGACCCAUUUGACAUUUUGUUCUGACAGUCACUUUCUCUAAGCCAGUAAAAAGUAUCUCGUGCCACUAUGUCCUGUUCGUCAGACCUCUAUGACGGAAUACGGAACUCUUGUUAAAAUUUAAUUUAAGCCACUUUAUUCUUAUUCAUGAUCAGUAAAUAAAGAGUUCAGCAGAGAACCUUUACUACUAAUGUUUAGACCUUCAGUUGCCCCAUAACACUUUUUAUGUUCACUUUAAGUUCCAUUAUUAGUGAUUUUUGAUUGGUUCAUCCGUCACAUUUUGCUCUGCACUCUUGGAAGUCUAUCAUUAUUUUAAAGAAGUAGUUCCCAAAAAUGAAGAUUUUGUCAUUAAUUGCUCACCGUUAUGUUGCUCCAGACCUAUAUGCUGGUAUUUUUUCUUCUGUCAUAUAAUAGCUUUGUCUGGAUUUCAGUCGUUCCUCACACAAAGCCUGUGGCUACAGAAGACUUGGAAUAAAGCACGAGUCAUACGGACUUCUUUCAUGAUGUUUUUUGUCUCAUGGAGCUGAAUGACACACAAGUCGACGCUCAUAUAUGACAGAAAAUAUGUGUUUACUUUUCACAGCCAUCUUUCAGUGUUAACUGGAAAUUAUGAGCAUGAUGAACACUGAAGCUCACUGGCUGUGAUGAAUGCAAACAACAAAUAGCCUAGAUAACGUAGCUUGACUCGUAUCAACAUCAGCCAGAUGGCAGGUACAGAAACGUUACUCCUUCAUUUGAAGUAUUGAUCCUUCAUUCUUUUCCACAAGAGUUGCAUCAUUCCUCUUAGUUUCUGUGAAAUGGGUUGAAUGAAGCACAGAAACGAAGUUAUGAAUUCUGAUUUGCAAAUGAAUAUUGUUAGGUUACUAAAGGCUUUAUUUUUUAUUCUAAACCUGCAAUAUAAUUCAGUAGUUAUUAUUAAUUUAAAAAUAGAUCAGACUAGCUAUUAUUAGCUUUUAUUGUAUAGUAUCUCCUAUCUAUUUUUUUUAUUAUUAUUAUAAUUGUUAUGAUCUUUUUCCCUUAAAUUUUUAGAAUUGUCCCCCACCCAGAUAUUUUACUUUCCCCUCUAUGAAUCAUUUAUGGAAGCCUGGACAAUUCUACUUGCCUCUUUUUGAGAACUUAUAAAUACAGUUAAUAAAUCUGCUAUUAAUUUGUAUAAUUUGAUUGUUUAAGCCCCCCCCCCCCCCCCUUUAUCUUUUUUUUUUUUUAAGCAGGGCCACCAUCAAAUAUUGACAAAUCUAAAAAGUAAGUCUCUUAUGGGCAUUGUUUGUUUGUUUGUUAAUUGGAAAGCUAUGAGAAUUUAGGACUUAAUGUCUUUGUUUGAUAAAAAUGUAAAUAUUACAGACUCUACAUCUUUGGUGUUUUGGUCAAUUUCCCUUUUUAUGGUUAAUAAAAUGAGCGUUUUAUUUAUACUUAUCUGUUUAUGCUGAUGUAUUCAUUUCAUAUCUCUAAAGAAAGUAAUGAGUUACACAAAGAACUAUGAUUACUAUCUUCCAUUUGAUGCCUGAUUCAAAAUGCAUAAUUGCAAUUUUUCGUUAAUUAAAAAACAACUAAAGCAUUUCACAAAGCUUUAAGGCAGCCAAGCUUAAUUUUUAGCUAGCUGGGCUCCCAGGGCAUUACGGUUACAUGACUUCAAUCAUUACUAAUCAGCAAAACAAUUAAUAAUUGUCUUGUGAUGGUGGUUCAGAUUGGAGCACAGGAUUGGGAAAUCUAAUGCAGUGCAAUAAAAUGUUUGGCUCGGCUUACUUUGGAAAACUGGAUCUGUCUGUAUGUCUCCAGGUUUGAGUGAGUAAACUGUAGCCAGUGGCCAUUAUGCUGUCUCAUAAACCGUCCCUUGCCACUCUUUCUCAUUAUCCUCUCUGCCCUGUCCACACUCUCAUAGCUUGGAGGCUUGUGGUUAAGCCUGUUCUGAUAUGGAGCCACUGGCAAACAGUCAAGAGAAAACUUUCAAAAUGUUACUUUUUAAACAUCCCACGGGGCGAACCAACCAAAAUAAAAAUUCUAGGUGGACAGACAUACAGUAUACGGUUUUCUUGAGCCAUUCGCCAUUGAGAUGUACAGUAUAUACAGUUUUCUUGAGCCAUUCUAUAGCUUUGCAUGAACAACAUACUGGAAUUUAAGAUUUUUCAUGUUUUCACUGGCAUUUUGAUGAGAAGCAACAAUUUGUGAGUGUUUUUCAUUGAUUUUUUUUUUCAUGCAUUGAAAUUAGUGUCCAUCUUACAGUACCUGUUUUGACUUGCAGAAUAAUUAUUUAUUUGUUUUAAAGUUCUUGGGGUUCUCUUAACAUUCAAAUCAAAUUUGUUUCAAACCUUAAAACUGCAAGAUAAAAUAAAUAAAUAAAUAAAUAAAUAAAUAAAAAACUGAAAAGAAGUCAAUAUUUUAUUUUGUGUGUAAGAUUCUAAUUUUAAAUUUCAUUUUCAUUUUCAACAACCUUUUUUUUAUAUUCUUGUCAUGGUUAAAAAAAGAAAGAAAGAAAAAGGAGUGGAUGCAAAAGUAUACAGACUGAGCUUGAAAGUUGCCCUAUUCUGCAUGGGAAGAAAAACAUGAACAACCCUGAUAAGUGCAAACUACAUGGAUGCUACAUGUGGAUGUUUGAAAGAAUUGCAAAAGUUAGCAAAACAGAUGUACAAAUUCAUCAUCACCUGAGCUUACAGCACUGCUUGAGCUUCAACCCCUAAAUCCUCUCCAGUAAAUAAUUGGAACAACAUGCUUGAAGAAAAAUAAAUGUUUAGUUUUUGCUCUUAUAAUCCAACCACAGACAUGUUGCUGGUGAAAGUAACAAAGCAGCUAUGUCCAAUCCAUUAAGUAAAUGCUUACAGGAUUGCAUAUGAUGUAUAGACAUUUUGUUAUUACAUGAAGCUUCGUCACAGUCUAAAAAAUAUUUAAACUUGACUUAAGUGCUUUCUACCAUGGCUGCAGGGACCAUGUCUUGAUGACUGAUACUAUUUAUUUAUUUAUUUUAAUUUAUCUAUUUAUUUAUUUAUUUUUUCAAUUUUUGUGUUAUUUAUUUAUUUUUUUUAUUUAUUUUGCAGAAAACGUGUAAUGUGAUUUCCACGAUGUCUCUUACAGAUUACAUGCUAUUUAUAUAGCUGUGAAAUGUGUUUGCUGUAGUCAAGUCUGCCAAUAAACCCUUGAACUGACAUUCAUUUAUUGCAUAUUUGCAGAAAACAAAACUAAACUAAAACUAAAAAGAAAGAAAGAAAUAAAAAGAAAGCAAUGAAAAAGCCAAUUUCAAAUAUUCAAUCAAUCAAAUAAAUAAACAAAUAAAUAGUUUUAAAAUGAAAAAUGCAUUAAAUUGUGUUUAUUUAUUGUGUAAUUUGAAAAGUAUAUCUGAUAAUUUAAUUUGUUAAUUAUGACAUCUAUUUUGUUCAUAAAUAUUUUUAAUGGAUUGUUUAUUGUUUUACUUUAUUUUUAGUUUUUAAUCUUUUACAUUUCAAAAUACUUGUUAAUGUCUAGAUGUACUUUAAGAAAAGGCAUACAGUACAUACAGUAUUAACUAUUUUGGUUACACUUUAUUUAAAUGUGUCAUUGUUACAGUGUAAUUACACAAAGGAGUACUGAGUAAUAUAUAAAAAACAACAAAUUGCAACAAAUUUGGCAGAGAGCUGUGCCAGAACACUGUAUUUUUUGCAGGAGAAGUGUAAUUUUGUAUGCCAACAAGUUUUCUUUUUUUUAAGUAUAGAACAUGACUGUUGACAUCUUUACAUUCAGUGAUUAAAUAUAACUGAAAUACACCUCAAUCUUGGAACAUUUGAAAGCCUUUCCUUCAGUGUAAAUCUAUAAUGACUUAGAUCGCACUCAUGACAUUUAAGUCACUCUAAUACUUCCCGAUAUAAGCUACUGUAAUUAUUGUUUUCAACCACGACCAUGACAAUCAGCUGCAAUUACAUAUGUCAGGGAUCACACCGAAGCGCUAACUCUAAACAGUUCAUCUAUCUCAAACCACAGUGACACUGCCAUCCAAAACAACAGACAAAUCACAGGAGCGACACAUCAUCACCACUCCGUAUCUAUGGCAACUGUUCAGCUGAAUGAGCAGUAGUGAUCCAGCCCGCUUUACAGAUUCUCAGUCGCCCCUCUCUCUGCAGAAGUCUUCCUAAUGGCUUUUUUAGAGAGAGAGAGAGAGAGAGAGAGAGAGAGAGAGAGAGAGAGAGAGAGAGAAUGACGCACUUCGAUUCUGAUCUGAGGCCAGUUGCGCGGUCAGAUUCUUAAUGAAUACUGCCAGUGUUUAGGCACAGGAAGCUGGUCAAGGAUCAGCACAAAGAGGCACUAAUGGCCAGUGUUAAAGCAGCUCUUAUUACAGCAAGAUUAAAGUCUGGUAAUAAAGUCAAGAAAUGAUCCUUAGCAUUCCGUAUUGGCUUUCUCUUAUGACUGCUAUCUCAUGUCUGAUUGGCUCUGAGAAGCACUUACUUCCACAGUCCGAGCAGGUGGCCAGCACUGGCACCAGCAACCUCUCAAAUGCAGCUGUGUCUCCAAGCAUGGAGAAAAAGCAUUGACUAAUUUAGUAUGAUGACAGAUAGGAGUUAAAGGGGUCAUAUGAUGCAAUUUCAAGUUUUCCUUUUUCUUCGGAGUGUUUCAAGCUCUUGGUGCAUAAAGAUGAUCUGUAAAGUUGCAAAAACUAAAGUCUCAAACCCAAAGAGAUAUUCUUUAUUAAAACUAAGACUCGUCCACACCCUCCUUAAACGCCUCGUUUAAAUGCCCCCACGUGUCUACGUCACGAUGUGGGAAGAUUUGCAUAACGCCGCCCAAAUGUUCACGCAAAGAAAGAAGGCGCAACUUUGAUUCUCGCUGUUGCCACCGACGUCAUGUCGUGAAGACGCUGUUUCGUUUUGAAAGUGAAAAUACUUUCUUUGGCCUUCUAAAAGAGGACACAACUAGAAAUCAGUGGUUAAGUUGUAUUUACAACACUGUUCCAGAACAUUUCAACCCAAAUAUUCAGAUGUGUGCAGCACAUUUUAUAGAGGACUGUUUCCUGAUCCUGGGAGAGAAGACUACAAUGCCAGCUGUUCUGACUCACAGCCUGUAAGUACGUUUACAUAUGUAAAGGAUUUGCCACUGAUGAUUCAAACGCGAGUUUUGAGUAGUGUAGAGUAGCGGUUCUCAAUUUCAGUCCUCGUGCCCCCCUGCUCUGCACAUUUUGUGUGUUUCUCUUAUGGCUUCAGACGUUUGUUCUAUUCGAAUGUAAGUGCCCUGUGAAGGGGACAUCACAGGAUAUUCUGCCAUGAUUCCAGCUCGAAGCGAACAUAUAUGUUCCUUUCAAAGUGCACGGAAGUGUGUAAGACAUGAAUUUAAAUUGUAUUUGUUUACAGAGGUUUAUAAUGUCACACUUGUCCGUGUGUGAAGACGCUUCGCAGCGCAAAUCCAUGAAUGAAUGUUCCGAAGUGAAGUAAACUUCAACAGCUUUCCCCUGCUCAGGGAGUAGGGAGAAAUGAACUCUGUGUAGGGACCAAGUCAAUUGGAACACAUUUCAUGCACGGAGCUCUCUUCUAAAGAGCUGAUUAAAGAGCUCGGAGGUGGGGGGGGGGGGGGGUGGCUGGAUGCAGACAAAUGCAGGUUUUACAAUGCAUAAUAACACACAGGGGCGGACUGGCCAUCUGUGUGAGCUGGAGAAUCACAGAACGGCCGGUACUCCAGGACGGCCGGCGGGCCGGCCCACCACCCGCCACGUACGCAGUCAUCACCUGUUUUUUUUCCCCCCACUACUCUGUUUCACACUCCAGUACUGUAGGUGGCAGCAAUGAAACUUUAAGUUGGAUGCCAGCUGCACUGGCCGUGGCCGCCAAGUUAGGAGAAGAAGAAGUGGAAGAGUAGGAAGAAACCAACAGCAAAGACGUUAGAUAGCAGAAGCACAGAAACAAACAAACAAUAUGCAUAACGUGGCCGCAGGUAAAAAACAGAAAGAAAAGGGUGGGGCUGAGAAGGCGAGAGAAAAAAAAUUGCGGAAUUUAGAUUCUGAAGCCGCUAAAUGUCGCAAACUAACUGAAAUAUUUAGCAGCACAGCCAGCAGCAUCACCUCGCAGUAAAAUAUUAGCAGCAGUGAAGAAGUGAGCAGACAGCUAUGCAGCAACAUGCCACCAGUGAUGAUGAUGAGGGACAGAAAGAUGAGGUAGUUCCACAGGCAGAUCCAGGGCAAGUAGGUAUGGAACAUGAGAGGAGAAAGAGAGUUACUUGCUAGGGAUGAUGUUAGGAAGUGAUAUUCAGGUUGCUACAUUUUUUAAUUAUUACAGUAGUUAAAACAGCUAAACUUCAACAUUUUAGCUGCAAAAUGCCACAUGCAGUAGCUAAUAUUAAGAAAUAUGUUGUGCUUGUACUUUAACAAAUGUUGGUAACGUUACAGUUAAUGCUUACAAACUUUGAAGAUUUUGAAUACAGAAGUUACAUUUGUAAUGGUGUAUUUUCAUUUAGAUGUGGUAUUAUUAUUUGUGCAGUAAGAUUAAUUACUGCAUAGAUUAAUUAAGAUUAUUAAGUAAUAAAUUAAUUUUAAGACAGCACGGAAUAGAUUGUAUAAUAUGCUGUUAUAACAGCAUAUUAUAUAAUCUGUUCCAUGCUAUCUUGAAAUAAAACCUUUUUUUUUUUUUAAUCCAUUCCAUCAUUUGUUUAUUCAGGUUGAGCUUAGACCAAGAGCAGAGAAAGACACCCACUCCAGCUCAACAUCUAGUCAACAUCAGUGCUAUUGCUAUAAUUUGGAUAGUAUAGUAUCAUGAGCAACAAUUAAAGUCUUGUGACACUCAUGCCAGGCGUUAUUGUUGUUGUUUUCGUGUUUCCGCGCACCGAUUGCCGGGCCUAGUAAAAGUCCAGGGCUGUUUUUAGUCCCAGUCCUUCCCUGAUAACACAGUAUAAAUCAUUAUAAUCCGUAAUGAUGUCCCCACUGGAUGCAACAAAUGCCUCGUUUGUAAUGAGUUUUAUUCGUUUCUUCUUGUCACGCCCCUGUUCGGACCGGGGGAUGCAUCACAGUAUGGCAAGGGGCGUAACAUUUCCGUUAAUGGCUUGAGGCAUUCAGCCAAUCACAACGCAGUGGAUAGCUUGCCAAUCAGAGCACACCUCGCUUUUCAGACCGAUGCAUUUCAGAAAGGCGGGGCAUUGAGGAGAAACAAUAAUGUACAGUAUGUGGAAAAUAAUGCGUUUUUUGAACCUUAAACUACAUAAACACAUUUCAUUACACCAAAUACACAAAAUAAUGUUCUUUUUAGCAAAAUCAUAUGACCCCUUUAAAAAGCUACAGUACUUAAGAUCUGACACUCUGGAGAGCCCCAUUGCUGGUACUGAUUGACAGAGAUGUUCAGAUUAACAUUAACAUGGCUAUGAUUGAGCAUUGCUUCUAGGUCUUAAUUUAUCAAGGCAUCCACCUGUGAUUUUUUUUUCUCCCUAUUUUAUAUAAUUGUAAAUGCAGGAGAACGCAAACAUUUCCUGAUUGCGUGCAGCUGAAGUGCAGACGGUUCCUCGUUUCUGAAUCAGCAAAUGUUUGCGUUGUGAUUUUGGGGUUAGAGGUGUAUGGGGAGCAGGGGUUCACAUCAGCUAUUUGUUUAAAUUUUUCUGUCCUAAUUAAAGACUGUCAGACUGUAAACUGUGCACAUUAUCAACCUUUCAAAGCCUACUGUAUCUUAUUUGAUAUGUAAAUUUAUGAGGCCUUUUAAGUAUUAACAUGAUCAAAACUUUGCUGUAAAAACUGGAGAGCUUUUUACACAUUUUGACAGUUUUUGGCUGCAUUUACAUGACAACAGCGUUUUUGGGGACUUUGAAUGCAAACUUUUGAAAAAAGUUUUUAAAAUACGGUACUACUAUCAUCUCUGUGUAAACUAUAAAAAUAUUAAUUUGUGAAAAUGGUGCAAAGUGUAGUGCGGAGUGGUGCAUAGUUUCUUUAAAAGUUGCUAUGUGGUAUGUAGUAUCUACUCAAUCUAUGUAGU